UGUGAAGAAUGCCAGUGAGUUUCAAGAAGUUCAUCGGGAGAAGUGGAAUGAGAUGAUUUCAUCUGCAGCCUUAAGGAACAUCAGGGAAGCAAAGUGGAAUGUGCCCACCCUAAUGCCCUUUACCGAAGAUGUCCAAAAACUGCAUGCAUAUCUUAGUCAAGUGCAAGAUGAGUGGUACAAUUCACUCACAGAAAGUCCAUGUACAAAGGCCUGGAUGGAACUGGCAAAAGUGUGUCUGACCCAGAUCAUUCUUUUUAACCGACGCAGGGAAGGAGAGGUGGCAAGCAUGCCGUUAUCAGCAUAUUUAUCUAGAGACACUACCGAUCCACACGAGGAUGUGGACUGGGCGCUCUCUGAAGUGGAAAAAAAACUCUGCAGACACUUCUCUAGGAUCAUCAUCAGAGGAAAACGUGGUCGCCCAGUUCCAAUUCUGUUGACUCCAAAAAUGAUGUCUGCUUUAGAACUCCUUGUUAAACAAAGAGAGGCUUGUGGAGUUCUAAAAGAUAACAGUUACAUGUUUGCAAGACCGGAAGCGGCAACACAUUUCAGAGGUUCAGACUGCAUUCGUGGCUUCGCGAAGGCAUGUGGUGCGAAGUGUCCAGAGUCACUGACCUCAACCAGGCUGAGAAAGCAUGCUGCAACCCUUUCAACGGUGCUAAACAUGACAGACACAGAGAUGGACCAACUAGCCAACUUCCUGGGACAUGACAUAAGAAUCCAUCGUGAGUUCUAUCGACUCCCAGAAAAGACCCUGCAACUUGCCAAGAUCAGCAAAGUUCUUGUGGCUCUCGAGAAAGGACGAUUAGCUGAGUUUCAGGGCAAGAAUUUGGAUGAAAUUGGCAUAGAUCCUGAUGGUAUGUAUGUAUGUAUGUGUAUAUAUAUAUAUAUAAUUUUUUUUAUGUAUUUUUUUGUUAUUCUGCCCUGGUUCUGUAUAUUCCUUUUUGUUUAAUCAUGUACUUUUUGUAUGACUUUUACAGAAAAGGUUCAGGCCAGUGAUGAGGAAGAUGGAAGCAUACAGGAGGAAAUCUGCUCAUCCACUCCUGAUGGUGUGUAUUGUUAGUAAGUUACUGUACAAAUGCUGGGUUUCCCACAGUAUGUUAUAAUUUGAAGAAAAAAGAAAUUUAACUUUAAUUCAGACAUUUACCUUACCAGCAUCUUUGAGGCAAAAAUUACAACCUGAAUGGAACAAAAUGCCCUAGCAGUUAGUUCUGGUCGAUAAAACAAUAACGAUAGUUAUCGAGGAAAAUGUAUAUCGCGAUAACUAUAAUAAGCCGGGGCGAUAGGAUAAACUUUCUCUAUUUCCCCUUUAAGUAGCGCUGCGAACAGGCGCAGCACGUGAUCAGGCAGCGCUCUGAA
rnacentral:lncRNA from 1 species